rnacentral:rRNA from 1 species
GAUGAACGCUGGCGGCGUGCCUAAUACAUGCAAGUCGAGCGAACAGACGAGGAGCUUGCUCCUCUGGCGUUAGCGGCGGACGGGUGAGUAACACGUGGAUAACCUACCUAUAAGACUGGGAUAACUUCGGGAAACCGGAGCUAAUACCGGAUAAUAUAUUGAACCGCAUGGUUCAAUAGUGAAAGACGGUUUUGCUGUCACUUAUAGAUGGAUCCGCGCUGCAUUAGCUAGUUGGUAAGGUAAUGGCUUACCAAGGCAACGAUGCGUAGCCGACCUGAGAGGGUGAUCGGCCACACUGGAACUGAGACACGGUCCAGACUCCUACGGGAGGCAGCAGUAGGGAAUCUUCCGCAAUGGGCGAAAGCCUGACGGAGCAACGCCGCGUGAGUGAUGAAGGUCUUCGGAUCGUAAAACUCUGUUAUUAGGGAAGAACAAAUGUGUAAGUAACUAUGCACGUCUUGACGGUACCUAAUCAGAAAGCCACGGCUAACUACGUG